ACUUAUUUACUUAUUCUCUUUAUUUGAUACAGGAUCUGGCUGGGUAGUGCUGGGUAGUGUGGAAUGUUAACGAAGCUGUUCUUGAACUUGUAGAGAUCCACCUCUGUGGUCUGUCUCUGCCUCUCAGGAGCCGGGGUUACUGGGUUUAAAGUUACUUUAAAGCCCCAUUCUUACAGUUUUAAGAUACCCUGGCUGUUUCCCGUGGCGAGAACUGGACCUAGUUAUGACGUAGUUGGUCUUGUCAACUCUUAGAAUCACCUGGGAGAGCUCUCUCAACUGAGGUUGGGAAGGCCUAUCCUCAGAAUGGGAAGUCUAAGGUCUGGGGAAAACCCGAGUACACCUGCCUACCCUCUCUUUCCUGUGCGAAGGGGUCCAUUGCUGCCCCUGCCUUCCUCUGCCAGUGCCACACGUCAGUCUCCUGGAACUUCAGACGAGUGAUGUCAACCUAGAGACCCUACAGAGCCCCAGGCCUUCGGUAUCUGCUUGGGGCUACCGAGGACACCAACGUUCUGUAUGUCUGUGGGGCCCACUCGGCACUGAAGCUUCACUGAAGCCAUGACAACCCACAGCGUUUCCUGUCUUCUAUUGUGUGCCACCUUUAUCAAAGAGACAGAGUAUAGUGAAAGUCCUGGGUGAGUGUGGUGACGGUGAUGAACUGUGUUUUAUGGUGGUAAGAGCUGGGGCACUCUUUCAAAUUCACCGGCUUUCUCUGAAAGGAAAUAAAUUCAUACAGUAAAUCUUCCGGGUAAGUUAAAUCGUGGUUGCUUUAACUAUUUCCCAGUGACACUCACAGAUUCACUCUUCAUUUACCUGGUUAGCCGGGUAUUUGAAUGAAAGCUUGCUUACAACCAGUUUGUUAUGUGUGCAGGGUUUGGGAGCUUCUGUCCCCAACACUGCGGUGUGGAGAAGCAGAGGACACCUGAGACGUUAGCCCUUCUCAGCAGCACACUGUCAGAUGCCCGACAGCCCCUCUCUCUCACUCAGACUGCUCUUCCGAGAGGUCGAGGAUCCUGGGCAGAAUAAACGAUGUAAGUAAACCCCAGAGGGCUACUACCAAUGACAUGGCACUGAAAUACGGGUUCAUGGCAAGGGCCAUUGGGCAUAAUGUUCUUAGUAUACAGGGAGGAAAAGGGGUGUUUUAUAAUAUAUUUAGAACAUGGUGUCUUAGAGGAGAUAAUUGGAAGAAUCUGUUGAAGUAAAAAUAGCUUAGCUCAUGGGUUGGGGAUUUAGCUCAGUGGUAGAGCUCUUGCCUAGCAAGCACAAGGCCCUGGGUUCGGUCCCCAGCUCCGAAAAAAAAAAAAAAAAAAGAAAAAAGAAAAAAAUAGCUUAGCUCUGACCAAAUGAACUACACACUCUCUGUGGCCUCACAGGCACUUGAAGUAUGAUCUCCGUUAUACCUGGGUAGCCAUCAUUAAAUUAUUCAAUCCCUGCAUUUUCUGCACUAGCAUUCUUCUUGAGUCACCACUUAAAAAAAAAAAAAAAAAAGCAACACUGUCAUGCCACAUUUGGGACAAAUGGGUUUCUGGCUCCUCUGGACUUUCCCCUGGAGAUCCAGAGGUAACUGGUGGUUGCUCUGUAACAUAAGCUCCAAUAAAAAGCAGGGAGAAUUUACAUGAAGUGGGGAUGGAAACUUUGGAGUUUAUGAAUGAGCCAGAAGGCCAGACUAAUUUUAGCUAUCGUGUUCUUCCGGGUUCACAUAAAAUCGUGGCAUUUUUAGAAGUUAUGUGUCUUGCGUUGUUUUCACAGGCUGUACAGAUAGAAAGAAUUGGUGCCCAGAAAAUAGCUGGCACUGAGAUGGUAGCUAGUAAAAUACUCAACUGUAGGAAACAUACCGAAUUCUUAGUUUUUGUCAACUAUCAGAUGGCAUUUUCUUUCUUUAUUCUGUCUGUCUGUCUGUCUGUCUGUCUGUCUGUCUGCCUGCCUGCCUGCCUGCCUGUCUGUGCAUUUACCAU